rnacentral:rRNA from 1 species
CAGGCCUAACACAUGCAAGUCGAGCGGACCAUUCCUUCGGGGAUGGUUAGCGGCGGACGGGUGAGUAACACGUAGGCAACCUGCCUGUAAGAUCGGGAUAACUACCGGAAACGGUAGCUAAGACCGGAUAGCUGGUUUCCCCGCAUGGAGGGAUCAUGAAACAUGGGGCAACCUGUGGCUUACGGAUGGGCCUGCGGCGCAUUAGCUAGUUGGUGGGGUAAUGGCCCACCAAGGCGACGAUGCGUAGCCGACCUGAGAGGGUGAUCGGCCACACUGGGACUGAGACACGGCCCAGACUCCUACGGGAGGCAGCAGUAGGGAAUCUUCCGCAAUGGGCGCAAGCCUGACGGAGCAACGCCGCGUGAGUGAUGAAGGUUUUCGGAUCGUAAAGCUCUGUUGCCAAGGAAGAACGCCUCGGAGAGUAACUGCUCUGAGGGUGACGGUACUUGAGAAGAAAGCCCCGGCUAACUACGUGCCAGCAGCCGCGGUAAUACGUAGGGGGCAAGCGUUGUCCGGAAUUAUUGGGCGUAAAGCGCGCGCAGGCGGUCUUUUAAGUUUGGUGUUUAAGCCCGGGGCUCAACCCCGGUUCGCACUGAAAACUGGGAGACUUGAGUGCAGGAGAGGAAAGCGGAAUUCCACGUGUAGCGGUGAAAUGCGUAGAGAUGUGGAGGAACACCAGUGGCGAAGGCGGCUUUCUGGACUGUAACUGACGCUGAGGCGCGAAAGCGUGGGGAGCAAACAGGAUUAGAU